rnacentral:tRNA from 1 species
CGGGGCGUGGCGCAGACUGGUAGCGCGCUUGAAUGGGGUGCAAGAGGUCGGAGGUUCAAAUCCUCUCGCCCCGA